AGAAUCACUUGAACCCCGGAGGCAGAGGUUGCAGUGAGCCGAGAUCGUGCCACUGCACUCCAUCCUGGGUGACAGCA
rnacentral:snRNA from 1 species